AUUCUCUCUCUCAAAUUCACUGACCAAUUAAUUUUCAUUUCAUAUUCUCUCUCUCUCAAAAUAACAUAAAAAGAAACGAAGAAAAAAGAGGGAAGAUCGAAACAAUGCAAAACUCUGACGCGAUUCACGCUGGUAACUGCUUGUAGAACAACAAAAACGACACGACUCACGACGAGAACCACCACACCGACGGAAUCGAACCACCGCAAACCCGCCUCCUCCGACAUCCACGAACAGCCUCACGCUGCAACUCCCUCAGUGUUGUUACCGUACCUCCGCGCGGAACCGUCCAAGUAGCCUUCCGUCUCCGCCUUAGCACCUUGCACCACCAUGUUGCUCUUUCGUCCUUCACCCGGUAAUCGUGUGCUCCCUCCUUUUGCUUUUCUAUUUCAUAUGUUGGGUUUUGGAUGUUUGUUUUGGUGAUUUCUGAAAAUAGUUGAGAAGAAGAAGUUUGGAUAAAGAGUGAAGGUCGAGAAAGAGGAGAGGGGAAGUGAAAUUUACGUUUUUCAUUUUGUAAAGUCCUUAAAUGCUAUUGUGAUUUUGUUUCUUUUCUAUCUGUAUGUUAAGUGUUUGGUUGUAGAUCUAUGAUGUUAAAUCUAACUUUUAACUUACUUAUAUUUGAUUUGAAGCAGUGCCCAACAAAAGCUUUGGCUCAUUGAUGAUGGAAGACUAUCAAAAAGUGAUGGUUGAUCGUCGGGGUGAGGAAGAACAAUUCACUUUAAGUUAGCAAUUGAAGUAGCUACUUUGUCAAAAGCUAUGCGUUUAGUAUGUACACAUUGUAUUGAUGGAUUAUGUGGUUUAUGAUUCAAAAAUUGAUGCUUCUUCUUUUGUUUGUCAAGCUGUGUAUGAAGGUUUAAUGAAGUUUUAUGGAUGGAUUUUCAAUGGAAAUUGAGAGUAGAAACAAAAGAUGUGAUUGUUACAUGGUUGAUGAUUUUGGAGUUUGGUUCAUGAAGGUUUUUACGCACAGGAUAUGAUGACUAUUUAUUCGACUGGAAGAUUUUAAAAUAUCAAGAGGUAUAACAGAGAAAAAAAGAAUUUAUUGUGAGUGUAUUCUUUUCAUGUAGGUUAACCUGAUUGUUAUGCAAUUAAAAUAAGAAAAAUAAGGAUGAUAUCAUGUCAAUGGAAACUUAUGUGUAUUUUGGUAAGUUGACUUAGAGAAACGUAUUCAUUACAAUCUGAAGUUAUUUUUCUUAACCUCGUUACAAGUAUCGCUAGCAGAAAGUAAUGUCUCUUUUGCUAUUUCUGUAGACAUUUUGUGGUUUCUAUUCCUAAUUUGUUUUUUAAUACUUGCCACAUGGAGAAAAUCAGAGUUUUGAUCUAUCUGUAAAAAAAGAAGUGAUCAUUGAAGUUCAAGCUAACUCUAAUUGUUGCUGACUUUCUUUGAAUUUUAGUGUUUUGGAUGCUUACUUCUGAUGUUCAGAAUCACAAGGUAUUUUUGAGGAGUCCGUACUGGAAUAUUUUUUUCAUUUAUUGGUUAGGAACAUGUGUUGUAUGUCAUGUUAUUUUAAUUUAUUUCUAUAAUACUACAUUCAAUAAAUGUGUAUGUUCCAAUCUACAUCAUAUAGUUGAUGAAGCCACAGUAUCAGUUGAUACAACUACAAAAGAAGAGGCAAAUGGUUAGAAAUAGUUUGAAAAGGCGGUGGUUGAAAGUUUUCUACUAAGUGGCAAAGAUCAGUUGGCAAUAGUUAAGUUGAUGAUACAUAGAUGCGGGUUCACACUUGACAUUCAUCGACAAAGUCUGAUUUUUUUUAUUUCUUUUAGCUUUACUAUAAUGACAUUUGAAUUGACGCAUGAUUAAUUAAUUUCAUGUAUUUGUGUUGUGUUUUUGUUAUAAGUUAUGUAGCAUCAAAACUUCUAAUAGAAGUUGUGUGCGACAUUGAUGAUGACACUGAUAUAUGAAGUUACAUUCCAUUUUGUACAUUUUUAAAAAUCAUUAUUGGUGUUUAUGUAUCAAUGUCGUUUUGAGUGUUCGUGUUAGCUUUUGUUCUUUCUACAGAGUUUAUAUGUUUGUUCAUUUAAUGAAUGAGAAUCAGUGAGUUUAUAGCAAUAUGAAAGAUUAUGACAUUUUCUAUUAGUCUUUGAGUAAUGCUUCAGUUUUUUUAUCUUGCUAUUGUAUUUUUUUUCAACUACCACUUUCAUAUUUUUGUGCUUAGAGCAAGAUUAUAGAGAGAAACAUGAUAUUCAGGGGCGGAGCCAAGGCCCAGCUAGCCCUGGAAGGCGCCCGGGCUCAACCCCUAUUUUAUUUGUACUCCCACCAAUUUAAUAGUCGAUUUUUAGACAAAAUCAUGGGCAAAAUUAGUAAAAAUAGAAUGUGAAAAUUAAAAGAGAUAAAUAAUCAAUGGUAUAAAGUUUUU